UUUGUUACUUUUUAGCUUGGUAUUUUAAAGGUCAUAAGGGUGAAGAAUAAUGCUAUUAUUUUAAGUCAAAUAUUGUUUAUGCCUAAAAUAUUUUGAAAUUUUGAAAUAAUAAUUUAUUUUACUAAUUGUAACAAAAAAUGGUGAAAAAGAAUUAACUGUGCAUUUAUUUCUUUAAAUCAUAGGUUUACAGGAAAUCUGUCACUUUUUAUUAAAAUGGAAAACUGUGAAGAAAGAGAAAGAUAGCAGUUGAAGUUAAAAUUCUCGGAUGACUAUUUUGCUUUUGAGGAGUCAGCAUUUAAAAACGAUAUGCUGAUUUGGAAGGUCCUGGGAGUAAACUGCAAACUUUAUUUUUUCCAUUCAAUCAAUGGAUUUUUUAAUCAUUCCUUGGAGUCGAUGAAGUUCGGAAAUGGUGUGUGAUGGGGAACGUGGCGGGCCAGUGUAUUCCUAGAAUUUGCAUCUUGGAUUAGUUUGCUGCUUUUUUGAAGAGAUUCCAUUUUGAAGGGCAAGAACCUAAUGUGAUGGAUUUAUCUUCAGAAAUGAACAGACAUGGGAAGAAUCCAGUGAGUCACAAGCUGGAAGAUCAGAAGAAGUGUACAUCUCAACUUCUCCUAAAACAGAUGGGAAAAUGCAAUAAUAUUAAAUUUUGGGCCCUUCAGACCAAGGAAGAACCUGGCAACAGUUCAAAAACAAUGACACAACAAAGAGAAGAAAACAGGUUCUGGUAUUUCCCUGAUGUUGAACUCUCUGUCAAUGGCUAAACAGAUUUUGGUUGAUUUGAAAAAUCAUGCCUAUUUGGAAAGUCAUGCAAAAUAAAAUAGUAUAUUUCAACUUUGUCCAGUAAAAGUAAAGGCCUGGUUUCAAAGAAAUUUCUUUACGGGAGUAUAAAGGCCAAGAACCUGCUAGAAUUUAUUAUCAAACAGAGUCUUAUCCUGAAUUAUGCUAGAGUUCUGCUAUAGUUAGA
ensembl:lincRNA